rnacentral:rRNA from 1 species
UACGGGGGGGGGCAAGCGUUGUUCGGAAUUACUGGGCGUAAAGGGCGCGUAGGCGGCCUGCUAAGUCGGAUGUGAAAUCCCUCGGCUCAACCGAGGAACUGCAUCCGAUACUGGCGGGCUUGAAUCCGGGAGAGGGAUGUGGAAUUCCAGGUGUAGCGGUGAAAUGCGUAGAUAUCUGGAGGAACACCGGUGGCGAAGGCGGCAUCCUGGACCAUUACUGACACUGAAAAAGCGAAAGCCAGGGGGAGCAAACGGG